CUACGGGUGGCAGCAGUGGGGAAUAUUGCACAAUGGGCGCAAGCCUGAUGCAGCAACGCCGCGUGAGGGAUGAAGGCCUUCGGGUUGUAAACCUCUUUUAGCAGGGAAGAAGCGAAAGUGACGGUACCUGCAGAAAAAGCACCGGCUAACUACGUGCCAGCAGUCGCGGUAAUACGUAGGGUGCAAGCGUUGUCCGGAAUUAUUGGGCGUAAAGAGCUCGUAGGCGGUUUGUCACGUCUGCUGUGAAAAUCCAAGGCUCAACCUUGGACUUGCAGUGGGUACGGGCAGGCUAGAGUGCGGUAGGGGAGAUGGGAAUUCCUGGUGUAGCGGUGGAAUGCGCAGAUAUCAGGAGGAACACCAAUGGCGAAGGCACAUCUCUGGGCCGUAACUGACGCUGAGGAGCGAAAGCGUGGGGAGCGAACAGGAUUAGAUACCCGUGUAGUC
rnacentral:rRNA from 1 species